AUUUACUUAGAGUUUGAUCCUGGCUCAGGACGAACGCUGGCGGUGCGCCUAAUGCAUGCAAGUCGAACGAGCGACCCGGGCUUGCCCGGUUAGCUAGUGGCAGACGGCUGAGUAACACGUAAAUAAUCUGCCCCGAAGAGGGGGAUAAUCCAGAGAAAUCUGGCCUAAUACCCCGUACCUAUCUUUUCAGCCUGCUGAAUUGAUAGAAAGGUUUAUUCCGCUUUGGGAGGAGUUUGCGGCUUAUCAGGUAGUUGGUGGGGUAAUGGCCUACCAAGCCGAAGACGAGUAACCGGUGUGAGAGCACGAUCGGUCAGAGGGGGACUGAGACACGGCCCCCACUCCUACGGGAGGCAGCAGCAGGGAAUCUUGCGCAAUGGGCGAAAGCCUGACGCAGCGACACCGCGUGAAGGAUGAAGGUCUUAGGAUUGUAAACUUCUUUUAUCAGGGAAGAGAAAGGACGGUACCUGAUGAAUAAGGUUCGGCUAACUACGUGCCAGCAGCCGCGGUAAUACGUAGGAACCGAGCGUUGUCCGAAUUUACUGGGCGUAAAGAGCGCGUAGGUGGUUUGUUAAGUCUCACGUGUAAUCUCCCGGCUCAACUGGGAGGGGUCGUGGGAUACUGGCAGGCUAGAGGUUAUCAGAGGAAAGCGGAAUUCCAGGAGUAGUGGUGAAAUGCGUAGAUACCUGGAGGAACACCAGAGGCGAAGGCGGCUUUCUGGGAUACACCUGACACUGAGGCGCGAAAGCGUGGGGAGCGAACCGGAUUAGAUACCCGGGUAGUCCACGCCCUAAACGAUGGAUACUAGAUAUUGGGGGUAUAGACCCCUCCAGUGUCGAAGCUAACGCGAUAAGUAUCCCGCCUGGGGAGUACGGCCGCAAGGCUAAAACUCAAAGGAAUUGACGGGGACCCGCACAAGCAGCGGAGCGUGUGGUUUAAUUCGAUGCAAAGCGAAGAACCUUACCCAGACUUGACAUGUUUUCGAAAGCCCCCGAAAAGGGGCCCUCCUUCGGGACGAAUUCACAGAUGUUGCAUGGCUGUCGUCAGCUCGUGUCGUGAGAUGUUGGGUUAAGUCCCGCAACGAGCGCAACCCCUGUCGUUAGUUACUAUGUCUAACGAGACUGCUCCCACUGGGAGAGGAAGGUGGGGACGACGUCAAGUCGUCAUGGCUCUUACGUCUGGGGCUACACACACGCUACAAUGGCCGGAAACAAUGGGCUGCCACACCGCGAGGUGGAGCGAAUCCUCAAAGCCGGUCUCAGUUGGAAUUGCAGGCUGCAACUCGCCUGCAUGAACGUGGAGUUGCUAGUAACCGUAGGUCAGAACACUACGGUGAAUACGUUCUCGGGUCUUGUACACACCGCCCGUCAAGUCAUGGAAGUCGGUAACACUUGAAGUCGUCGAGCCAACCCUUUUGGGAGGCAGAUGCCGAGAGUGGGACUGGUGACUGGGACUAAGUCGUAACAAGGUAGCUGUAGCGGAAGCUGCGGCUGGAUCACCUCCUUUUAAGG
rnacentral:rRNA from 1 species